CAGGACUUGGACACCAAGGGCCAGAAGUCAAACAGGCAUUUUAGCUGUUUGAUCUGCAGAGACACAAUGACUAAGGACCCAUGUUUUCCUCCUGCUGCCCGAAGCAUCGUGGAUGCAGGCUCUGUGUGGAGGAGUGGAGGAUAAACAUCUCCCCAAUGCCUUAAGUGCAGGGAUCUGGGCCAGUGUAUACCCAGGUUGCUGGACUGUCUGCAGCACUGGAUGUUUAAAGGGCCCUACCCUAAAUGGACAGCAGUUCAGUCGUUUUAUUGUUAAGUUUAUUGUUUAUUGUUAGGUGGUUGUGUUUCAAAUUCCAGGUUCAUGAUAUUAUCAUAACAGAAAAUUAUUGUUGUUAGUUUUCUUUAGCUGUAUGACCUUAUUAAUUGUUCAUCUGCAAUGUUUAAUAAAUGGAAAAUUGUUUGAA